rnacentral:rRNA from 1 species
CACGUAGGGUGCGAGCGUUGUCCGGAAUUAUUGGGCGUAAAGAGCUCGUAGGCGGUGUGUCGCGUCGGCCGUGAAAACCUGCAGCUUAACUGUGGGCUUGCGGUCGAUACGGGCAUCACUGGAGUUCGGCAGGGGAGACUGGAAUUCCUGGUGUAGCGGUGAAAUGCGCAGAUAUCAGGAGGAACACCGGUGGCGAAGGCGGGUCUCUGGGCCGAUGACUGACGCUGAGGAGCGAAAGCGUGGGGAGCAAACAGG